rnacentral:rRNA from 1 species
GCAAGUCGAGCGCACCCUUCGGGGUGAGCGGCGGACGGGUUAGUAACGCGUGGGAAUAUGCCCUUCUCUAAGGAAUAGCUUCGGGAAACUGAGAGUAAUACCUUAUACGCCCUUCGGGGGAAAGAUUUAUCGGAGAAGGAUUAGCCCGCGUUGGAUUAGGUAGUUGGUGGGGUAAUGGCCUACCAAGCCUACGAUCCAUAGCUGGUUUGAGAGGAUGAUC